GGAGAGCUGUCCGAGUGGCCGAAGGAGCACGAUUGGAAAUCGUGUAGGCCCAAACACGGGUCUCGAGGGUUCGAAUCCCUCGCUCUCCG
rnacentral:tRNA from 1 species